rnacentral:tRNA from 1 species
GCCUCUAUAGCUCAACGGUAGAGCAUAUAACUGUUUAUAUGAUAGACGUUCGAUUCGUCUUAGGGGCU